rnacentral:lncRNA from 1 species
GGAAAGCCAGGGGGAUGCCAAACAGGCAGAGGGGCUGAAGGAAGGAGCAGAAGAGAACGAUCACGCUAUGGAAAAGCAUGAAGAGGACCUGGGGCAAGGCUGAAGAUGUGAUUGGGCCAGCUGGUGACCUGUUGCUGGCCUCAUGCUUCCACAUGAAGAUGCCAGGCUGCAAAACGGAGAAGAAGGAAGCCCAUGCAGAGAUGGCUUCUGAGUGAGAGCUUAGGAGCAGCUGCCCGGGUGCCCGUAGGCGGUCAGAUUUCUAGAUGCACUUCCUGUUCUUGGGUUCCGCAAGACACCCUCUGGCUCUUUUGCAUACAUUUUAAGCAACUACUUCUGAAGUUGGGAAAUCAGGAGUAGCCGCUGACUCUAAAGAGAAACUAUAUCAAUUUGGAAUGUAUUUGCAUUAUCAGUGAGUUUACUGGAAGUAUUAAAGCUGGACCAUCACUUGGAGAUGUUGUAAGGAAAUGUGAACAUUUGGCGAACAGACCUUUAAAUAAAGAAGGAAGCCAUGGGAGUGGCUGAGAUCUCCCUGAGAGAAAGUGGAGAGAUGUUCAGAGGAACCACCCCUGUGGACCCAGGAACAGGGUCUGUGUCCCUUGAAGCACGUGACAGCAGAGGACGGGAGGCUCCACCUGAACAUGACCAGGGGUCUCCUGGGGAGGAAAAAUGGAGAUGGAAGCUGCAGAGGAAACGAACAGCUGCCCCCACACAUGCCGUACAAGGCCUGCAUGGGAUGAUGUACGUAGAGCUGCAUUUAAUGUAUACUAAAAAUCACUGGGCCGUGUUGCUAACUUCUGUUAGCAGAGAAUGCAGAAAGGCUGUGGGAGCCUUUCAUUGCCAGCUCUACGUGACCCUUCCCCUUAUGAUCAACACCAGACCAGGGAUUUAACUACAAGGCCCUGCCUUACCCAGCUCUUUUUGUCCCCACUUUGCAAAGUUCCUAAAAUGUACCAGAUUUCUUUCUUCUUCAUGGUCUUAUAUGCUGAUCCCUCUGCGGAAAACAGUCUCUGUAUUUGUUGCCUUUUCUUACGUAGGUUUCACUUCAUGUCAUUCCUUAAAGAGCACUUCCCUGUCCUCCUAAACUGAAUUAGGUGCCCCCUCCCUGGCUUGUGUCCCUAUUGGGAUCUAGUUCCAGAUUGUAAUUAUGUUUCUAUUAUGUUCAUGUGUAGCUCUGUGGUAUGGGGGCCACAUUUGUUCUGCUCACUAGUGAAUCCUCAGAGCCUGGCACAUGGCAAUGCUCAAGACAUUUGAUGAAUGAAUUAGCUAUUUCAUGCACUUCUUCGUCUAACUCUCAUGCCUAUUGUCUUUUUUAAGCAUGUGAGACAUCUUUGGAGGUUAUUGAAUGUAAAGAUUUCUACAAAACAGUACCCAUUCCAAAAGAUUAAUGAUGUUUAAUAAACCUAAAUAAUAAGGAA